rnacentral:rRNA from 1 species
GGAAUAUUGGACGAUGGGGGCAACCCUGAUCCAGCCAUGCCGCGUGUGUGAAGAAGGCCUUAGGGUUGUAAAACACUUUCAGCGGGGCAGAUGAUGACGGUACCCGCAGAAGAAGCACCGGCUAACUCCGUGCCAGCAGCCGCGGUAAUACGGAGGGGGCAAGCGUUGUUCGGAAUUACUGGGCGUAAAGGCCGUGUAGGCGGUUUGCCAAGUCAGAUGUGAAAGCCCCGGGCUCAACCUGGGAACUGCAUUUGAGACUGGCAGGCUAGAGGUUGGAAGAGGAGAGUGGAGUUCCCAGUGUAGAGGUGAAAUUCGUAGAUAUUGGGAAGAACACCGGUGGCGAAGGCGGCUCUCUGGUCCACACCUGACGCUGAGGCGCGAAAGCGUGGGGAGCAAA